UCUGACCUGUUUAAACCACAAAUUUACGCACUCCUGCCUCUCACCCCGCCUAACGCUAACUCCCUGCAAUCAAUCUCUCUCGCGCAAACUAUCUAAGCCAUGGCAUCCGAAUCCGACUUGGGAUCGGCAUAUGGAGAGGGGCAGAAUCCAGCCCGACCGGCGAAGGAAGUGCUUGAUGAGGAGAAUAAUCUUAGAAAAGAAAAACAGAAAGUUGUACCAAAGGAUGUCGAAGACUCAAUGACUCAACUCCAACUGGACAAAUGACGGCCAUGGUGCUUCUAGGCUUUGUAGAGUUUGCUGUAAGAAGAAGAAGCACUUCAGUCACAAUUGCCCGUACCUGACGCAUGUCCCACAUGGUGCUACUGUUGGCCCUGGCUAUGACAUAGUUUGCAAGUGUUGUAAUCAGCUUAAUGGCCACCCUGGGCGCUACUGGGAAGGGCGUGCUGUUGUCAUGUUUUGCGCUUGUUGUAUGACUAUGGGUCAACACCCGUACGAGAAGUGCCCGUAUCGUCCCAAGGACAGAGCACCAUUUGUGCCUCGCACGGUGGUUGUGUGGUCAACCUUGGACACAACACCAUAUGAGUCUUCUGUACCUGACGUUUACUAGGAUUAAGAUCGAUUUUGUCAGUGUUUGUCUGAAGGACUAAAAAAAAUCCAAAGCUAAAUAAAGUGAUUAUUAAUUUGAUGACAUGUAAUUUAGAAAAACGGAAAUCUUUUUUUUUUUUUGGUCAUUAUAAAAUUCAUUACCACAACAACAAAGAUACAAAAAGAGGUCCAAAUACAUUGAAAGCACUAUACUAAAAAAUGGACCCAAAGCACCACUAAAACAGAGCCAAACCCAAAAGAUAGAGUCCAAAAUAUACAGACAAAAAGCAAAAAACCCUAGCAACUCUGCCGCCGCUGAAGCACAAACCAACGCCAGAUGCAGGCCGAGAACCAACCAAACAAAGACUCCAAAAUGGAAAAGAAGAACAUUCCACCCUCCAUCACCGAGCACCACAAAGUCCAAGUCCGCAACAAACAAGUAAAGGUAGCCAGUGGAAAAAACUUCCCGCAAGCAACAGUGCAAAUUGCACAUAGAUGGAAGGUGGUGUGUGACCACCCAAGCAACAAGCCAGAGUUGGAGCUCGACACACCUUCCGAGAUGGCCGCAAACCAAAAUCCAGAAUAAACAUCUGUAGUAUGUUGAGAGCGUACGGGAACUCUUAGGUAAGGCUGCCACGACAGAGAGACCAGACCAGGGGAUGGAGGGACCAGAAACUCCGAGGGAUCGAUCUUAAUAAUGCCAUCGAUCACAUCUCCAAGCCAAUUUUAUCUAUUUAGCGUUGGAUUUUCUUUUUAGCUCAAGUCAAGUGCAUGGAAAUUAACAUUCAUCAUGGGAUGCCAUGCAUUCCAGUUAAAUUCAAACUCAUGUUUUUAAUGUCAAUUGUCCCUCUUAUGCAA